rnacentral:sRNA from 1 species
GGAUUGCCGAGACCACCUUUCGCGCCAAGAAAAUUCCAGCAAUGGCGGGAAUUCGGCACCGACGAGGAACAAAAAAGAAAACAAGGCAAACAUUGCAAACAUUGCAUGUAGGAGCCGAGAUGCUCAAGCAUUAGCAUGCUCGUCAUCCGGCAAUAUAUGUACCUUGCGAGACGCCACGCACUACAGCAGCUUUCCUCCUACUCUCGGAUGGUUGUUGGAGUUGCCUGAGCAGUUCAAAGAACAAAAACUCAUUCAUUCGACGCGAAAAGGUUGGUCUGUCCACGGGAACUUGAAGAGCGGGAAGGACUGUCCAUAGGCGCGGCCCAUCUUCCGCGUUCAUUGAUGGUUUGGUAACGACAGAAAACUCUGAUACGCGACUUGGGAAUCGCCUGUCAAAACCGAACCUGGAGUCUGGAAGGGGAAAGAAACGUAUUCCCCCUCUCUACUCAAAAAUGGGGCAAGAAAGAAUCAAUCAUAAGAGGGAGAAAUUGCCAAAACCGUCCCCAAGAUAUUUGUUCGGUGUCGAUUUUCGGAGCUCUGCAUCAAAUCGCGCCAUCUUGGAAUCAGAUAAACCCUUGCCUUCCUAGCCUGGUUCUAAGCCAACCUGGUGAUGCUGAGAUAUUGCCGGCUGAGCCCUGGCCACCCCGAAAUACGCAGACCCACUCGGCCGGUACUGGGCCACAAGGCCAACGGGGAUGUUCGGCUUCAACUCAAGCUCAUCCCCCUUUUAUGAUUCUGUCCUGAGAGGACUCGCGCAGGCGUUGCAUUUUCGUUUGUGAGUGGCUGCCACCUACCUAGGUGGUGUGGCAUGGUUUUCAAUGCACCAAUCAGCCUCGGGGGAUCAGACAGGAAUAGGUGAGACAUUCAUUCCCCUUUCAUCCAAAGUUCAGCAUCCUACCUCCCUAUUCUUAGCAACGAUAUUAAGACGAGAAUGGACGAGCUGUUUCGGCUCCGACGGACAGCCGGUGUUGGCAAUGUCAGGGUAAAGAAAGGUCUAAGCGAAGUUGCGGUGCACUCUGGUUUCUCAAUCAACACUCAUAGAAAAUCAUCUUGAACAUGCCCAGAAUACGAUCUCUUUGAUACCUUCUCCUCAUCUUGUCUUUCUUGAGGUUGAAACUAGGUAUUUUUAAUUUUACCCACCCACCCUGGUAUGCCCUAUCUUCGCGCUUCGGCACCUGUCAUAGUCUGGUGGAGAACUGGAGUUUACAGCCAUACUUGAAGCGCGAACAUGGGUGCUAGGUUGGGGUUUUUAUCGCCGUGGAUUCUUAGUUGGGGAAGUUUUUCACAUCCCAUUUUGAUCAAGUACUCUGUGAUUCCAAUGGUUGUAUAAAAGUUCACUGGAUAUUCCGCUGAUGAAACAGAAUUCGGAACUGUCGUUAUAUCUAAAUUCUCCUCCCCACG